rnacentral:rRNA from 1 species
CUGGCUCCGUUCCGGGGUCCGAGUUGUAAUUUGUAGAGGAUGCUUCGGGCGCGGCACCGGUCUAAGUCCCUUGGAACAGGGCGUCAUAGAGGGUGAGGAUCCCGUAUGUGACCGGCGACCAAGUCCAGGUGAAGCUCCUUCGACGAGUCGAGUUGUUUGGGAAUGCAGCUCAAAAUGGGUGGUAAAUUUCAUCUAAAGCUAAAUACCGGCCAGAGACCGAUAGCGCACAAGUAGAGUGAUCGAAAGAUGAAAAGCACUUUGGAAAGAGAGUCAAAAAGUACGUGAAAUUGUUGAAAGGGAAGCGCUUGUAACCAGACCUGCCGUCGGGUGCUCAGCGGGCACUUGUGCCCGCCUAUUCACCCGCGAUCAGGCCAGCAUCGGUUUUGGCGGCCGGAUAAAGACUCGAGGAAUGUAGCUUCGCUUCGGGGAAGUGUUAUAGCCUCGGGUGCAAUACGGCCAGCCGGGACCGAGGACCGCGCUUCGGCUAGGAUGCUGGCGUAAUGGUUGCAAGCGACCCGUCUUGAAACACGGACCAAGGAGUCUAACAUCUAUGCGAGUGUUUGGGUGUCAAACCCAUGCGCGGAAUGAAAGUGAACGGAGGUGGGAACCCUCAAGGGCGCACCAUCGACCGAUCCGGAAGUUUACGGAUGGAUUUGAGUAUGAGCAUAGCUGUUGGGACCCGAAAGAUGGUGAACUAUGCCUGAAUAGGGUGAAGCCAGAGGAAACUCUGGUGGAGGCUCGCAGCGGUUCUGACGUGCAAAUCGAUCGUCAAAUUUGGGUAUAGGGGCGAAAGACUAAUCGAACCAUCUAGUAGCUGGUUCCUGCCGAAGUUUCCCUCAGGAUAGCAGUAACGUUUUCAGUUUUAUGAGGUAAAGCGAAUGAUUAGAAACCUUGGGGAUGAAACAUCCUUAAUUUAUUCUCAAACUUUAAAUAUGUAAGAAGUCCUUGUUACUUAGUUGAACGUGGACAUUUGAAUGCACCGUUACUAGUGGGCCAUUUUUGGUAAGCAGAACUGGCGAUGCGGGAUGAACCGAACGUGGGGUUAAGGUGCCGGAAUGUACGCUCAUCAGACACCAAGGGGGAGACUUGUGGUGUCGGGCUGGGGGGGAGACCACCCAGCGUCAGUCUGCUUAAGGCGAGGUCUUUGACCUGUUAGGGGUCGGUGGUCGCUCCGCGAUGGCCUACCCUCCGCUGUCCCCUUCCGCGGGGGGCAGCUCACAGAUCAAGCAAAGGCCGGCGGCAGGAUGCCGUUGGAGAUAUGAUCGGCCCCUGGAGG